UUUCCGUAGGUGAACCUGCGGAAGGAUCAUUAAAGUGUUUAUGCUGCUUCGGCGGCUCGGUGGUUUGGGCUUCGGCCCGCCGCCUUCACUAUCCUUAACACCUGUGAACUGUCUGUCGAGCCCGAGGCUUUUGCCGACGGCUCUUCAUUUUAUACCAAACUUACACUCUGAAAAAAAUGUCAUCUUAUUAUAAACUUAAUAAAACUUUUAACAACGGAUCUCUUGGCUCUCGCAUCGAUGAAGAACGCAGC
rnacentral:misc_RNA from 1 species